UUCAAACUAGGAUUAGAUACCCUACUAUGCCUAGCCUUAAACUUUGAUAGUAAGACCUACUAUCCGCCAGAGAAUUACGAGCGAAAAGCUUAAAACUCAAAAGACUUGACGGUGCCCCAAACCAACCUAGAGGAGCCUGUCCUAUAAUCGAUGACCCACGCUUUACCCCACCUGCCCUCGCACAAAUCAGCCAGCCUAUAUACCGCCGCCUUCCAGCCUACCUUACAAAAGUAACACAGCAAGCAAAAUAGCCCCUCCGCUAAAACGUCAGGUCAAGGUGUAGCUAAUGGGCAGGAAAGAGAUGGGCUACAUUCUCUACGCACAUAGACCACCACCCCCGGUAUCAUGAAAACAUACCUCAAAGGUGGAUUUAGUAGUAAUUUAGGCAAGACUUCCUAAAUGAAUCCUGCUCUGGGGCGCGUACACACCGCCCGUCACCCUCA
rnacentral:rRNA from 1 species